UUCGACUGUUUACCAAAAACAUAGCUCUACUACACACAUGUAGAGUGAUACCUGCUCCAUGGCUACAAAUAAACAAUAAUAGUAGUUAAAUAGCCGCGGUAACUCUGACCGUGAUAAAGUAGCAUAAUCACUCGUCAUUUAAUUGGUGACUAGAAUGAAUGGUUUUACGAAUUUCCAACUGUCUCAGUAAUAAAAUUAAUGAAAUUAAACCAAUAGUGAAGAUGCUAUUUAUAAAUUGUAAGACGAAAAGACCCUAUCGAGCUUUACUAAACGCUUAAAUAAAUAAAUACUACAAAAUAUUUUAGGACAAAAAUAUUUAAGCUAAUUAGUUUGGUUGGGGCGACCACCUCUAAAAAAGUAUCAGAGGAGAUCUAACGGUUAAUAUUAAUAUAAAAAAGCCUAACUGCAUAUAAAUACAUUAAUCAGUUACAACAAGUAGGAUAUAAUGACCCGUUGGGACUAUCUAAACACCUAACGAUUACAAAAAAAGUUACCGUAGGGAUAACAGGGUAAUAUUCUCGAAGAGUUCUUAUCGAUGAGAAUGUUUGCCACCUCGAUGUUGAAUUAUGAUAUCCUAAAGGUGCAAAAGCUUUUAAGGGUUGGUCUGUUCGACCAGUAACAUCUUACAUGAUUUGAGUUUCAUUCCG
rnacentral:rRNA from 1 species